rnacentral:rRNA from 1 species
GUAGCGUAAUCACCUGUCUUUUAAAUAAAGACCUGUAUGAAUGGCAAGACGAGGGUUUUACUGUCUCCUCCCCCCAGUCAAUGAAAUUGAUCUACCCGUGCAGAAGCGGGUAUAAAAACAUAAGACGAGAAGACCCUAUGGAGCUUUAGGCAUAUAUCAAAUAUGUAAAAAACCAAAUUUUUCCAAAUAGGCCUAAAAAAUGAGAAAAACAAGUAUUAAUGAUUAAGUGCCUUCGGUUGGGGCGACCACGGGGAAAAAUAAAACCCCCACAUGGAAUGGGAAAAAUAACCCUAAGCCAAGAAAAACACUUCUAAGCAACAAAAUUUUUGACCAAUAAACGACCCAGGGACACCAUCCCUGAGCAAUGAACCAAGUUACCCUAGGGAUAACAGCGCAAUCCUUUCCCAGAGCCCAUAUCAACGAAAGGGUUUACGACCUCGAUGUUGGAUCAGGGCAUCCUAACGGUGCAGCCGCU